rnacentral:rRNA from 1 species
GAUGAACGCUGGCGGCGUGCUUAACACAUGCAAGUCGAACGGAAAGGCUCCUGCUUGCAGGGGUACUCGAGUGGCGAACGGGUGAGUAACACGUGGGUGAUCUGCCCUGCACUUCGGGAUAAGCCUGGGAAACUGGGUCUAAUACCGGAUAGGACGAUGGUUUGGAUGCCAUUGUGGAAAGUUUUUUCGGUGUGGGAUGAGCUCGCGGCCUAUCAGCUUGUUGGUGGGGUAAUGGCCCACCAAGGCGUCGACGGGUAGCCGGCCUGAGAGGGUGUACGGCCACAUUGGGACUGAGAUACGGCCCAGACUCCUACGGGAGGCAGCAGUGGGGAAUAUUGCACAAUGGGCGCAAGCCUGAUGCAGCGACGCCGCGUGGGGGAUGACGGCCUUCGGGUUGUAAACUCCUUUCGCUAGGGACGAAGCGCAAGUGACGGUACCUGGAGAAGAAGCACCGGCUAACUACGUG